rnacentral:lncRNA from 1 species
AUGCCUGAGUCAAAUAUGCAAUUAACAUGUUCACUACCCAGGGUCUGCAGAAUCCUUUCUUCAUCCUUCACUCAGUUAAGAACUAAAAGUUUCUGUGUAAGGAAACUAUUUCUCAAUCAAGGUUGUCUCAUUAAUUUUGAAAACUUUUUAAAAAAACUACCCCUCCACGCGCUGACACAAGCAGAAAUAGCAGGUUCAUGUAAUAGCAAACAUACUUGUGGACUGUAUAUGAUUUGUUCUCAGCCCCCGAGUUUUAAUUUAUGAGGAAGUGCAAAAUCUGUUAGUAAUUGGUAUAAGAAUUACAGAUGUUUCCAACUAUUUGAGUUCUUCCUGGCUCUUACUCCCUUUUCUUCCUGCAAGAGGAAUCCAACAUCCUAACACAAGAAAACGGCAAUCAAAUUGACCAAAGUGGUUUCAAUGCCUCUUCCAUGAAGAGACUGCCCAACAAAUGAGAGCCAAACUCUGACAGCUGCAUGCAGCGAGACUCAAAACGUGCCAGCCUGUGUCAUCUUGUUCAUCAUUUUCAGCUGAACAUACUGAGAAAGCUAGCGACUUGGCACGUCUAGUAAGCCACGGAUUCCACUCAGAGCAGCAGAGUUUAUUAAAUGUAGGGGGACCGGCACAUUUUAUUGCCACUUCGCUACCACAACCUCAGGCAGAAAGCACACAACUGUCUAACCAUUUGAGGACAAAGGCGGACACAUAUACUGAUGGUAAAGCCAAAACAGAGGCAGGCAUGUGCUGAAACCACAGCAGCCUGUCAGAACUUCGCUUUGCUCAACUCAGCACUGACUUGAACACGUGGAAAAGCACAAGGAGGACCCAGUGAUCCGUAACCAAGCUGACACAUAAACUCACCCUUCCCUUGGGAAAAAAAACUUCUAUGUCAUUUUCAACUUUCCAAUUAUACUAAAUGAGAAGCAUUUUAGAGCAAGAGUCAAUUCACAAUGAAAUUCUUCAAAAUAAUGGUUUUUUUAAGUAUAGCAAUGUACUUUCUGAUGAAUAUGAUACCUGUUUUCAGUAGCCACGAUUUUCAUAUUAAAGAAAAUGUUGUUUCAGUACAUACUGAUCAUAUUUUGAAAACAUCUAAAAGUUAAAAAAAUUAUUUUCUAGAGAGCAAUAAGUCAUAAUUUACUAUUUUUUAAUUUACUUUAAUGAAGUAUAGUUGAUUUACAAUGCUGUGUUAGUUUCUGCUAUAUAUCAAAGUGAUUCAGUUAUACAUAUAUAUUCUUUUUCAUAUUCUUUUAUUUAUGGCUUAUUAAGAAUGUUCAAUAUAGUUCCCUGUGCUAUACACAUGACCUGUCGUUUAUCCAUUCUAUAUAUAAUAGCUUGCAUAUGCUAACCCCAAACUCCCAAUAUAUCCUUCCCAAUACCCCCUCUCCCUUGGCAACAAGUCUGUCCUCUACAUACAUUUACUCUUAAACACAACUACCCAAAUAUUAAAAUGGUAAACACUAGGUCAUUUAUCUUUCUUUCUCUGGCACAAGCACACUUGUGUGUGCACGCAAGCAUACACGCACAUACGGUUCAGCAUUUUCAAGCAGGGGGAAAUCUCAAGAAUUUUUAACCUGAAAACACACAAAAGAGCCCAAGGUUUUUGACUACCGUUCACAAAGGAAAUUUGUGACAUAAAGCAAUUGAUCUGCUGUCAGCCUGGGGCCUGGUUUCCUUUAUAGCUGUCGUUUGGGGGGGGGGGGGUCACUAAAAUACCAGUGUCAAUACUGANNNNNNNNNNNNNNNNNNNNNNNNNNNNNNNNNNNNNNNNNNNNNNNNNNNNNNNNNNNNNNNNNNNNNNNNNNNNNNNNNNNNNNNNNNNNNNNNNNNGGGGGGGGGGGGGUCACUAAAAUACCAGUGUCAAUACUGACGUUUCCAUGACACUGUCACGGCUCACUCUCCCUGGGUGCAUGUAAUGGCAUAGAGGCAUUCUCAGGGAAAGUUCUUCAGGGUUUGCCAGACAAAGAUUCCAGAAAAUAAUGAUUUGUGGAAGUUCUCAUGAUCCUCAAAAGAAGGCUAGUCAGGUUUUUACAAAGACUGAAUCAUAACAAACUUGUCUUCAUCACAGAGAUCAACAAAAUUGCAAGUCCUCAUUUUUGACAUGUAAUUUAAUCCAAAAAGGAAUUUUAAUGAGUAAAUUCUUCCAGGCUUCCAUAUCUAAGCUUCAUUUUUGAAACACAUCUUCAUCACGUGAACUCAGCUCUAAAUUGAACUUAGUUCUUUCUGCUUGGACAGGUAAUCUGACUACUGGAUUACUGGAAAAGCAACGGGAUUUAUUUUCAGCUAUAACCUUCAAAAUGUGAAAAGCUGUACAUGAAGGUCAACAUAAAAAAAAGAGAUAAAGAGAGGAAAAGAAGGAGGAAGGAAGCUGCCAGUUGUUUUCAAAGUAAUCUCUGUCCAACCCAAUAAAUCGGUUUUCUAGACAGCAAAUGCAAAAUAAUAAAAAAGCAUUUAAAGGAAAACUGUAAUUUGUCUCAUGGUUUCAAACUUUCUAAGGACAUUCUAAAUCAUUUCAUUUUUCUUUCAAUCAAUAUAAGGCUUAGUACUAUACUGUGGCUUAAUACUAUACUGUACUAUACUUAGUAUAAGUACUAUACUAUACUAUAUACUAUAUAAGUACUAUACUGCACUAUACUUAGUACUAUACUGACAUAAUAAUAAUAGUUAAUAUUUGUUAUUUCUCAUGUUAUCAUGUNNNNNNNNNNNNNCUCAGUUCUUACAUGUUUUAUUUCAUCCAAACACCAGAGCAAAUAUGAAAUAGACAGUAUUAUCACCCUCCUUUCACUGAGGCCAAAGGUCAUUAGUUAAUAAAUGCCAAAACCACAAUAUAAAAAUAAUCAACACUCCAGAGCACCUUAAAAUUUUGCAAGAUUUUUUCAGCCAUUAUCUUCCUUUGAGCCUCACAAGGAACUCCACGAAAACAUCUACUUCUGCUUCAUUAACUAUGCCAAAGCCUUUGACUGUGUG